rnacentral:rRNA from 1 species
UACGGAGGGAGCUAGCGUUGUUCGGAAUUACUGGGCGUAAAGCGCACGUAGGCGGCUUUGUAAGUUAGAGGUGAAAGCCCGGAGCUCAACUCCGGAACUGCCUUUAAGACUGCAUCGCUUGAAUCCAGGAGAGGUGAGUGGAAUUCCGAGUGUAGAGGUGAAAUUCGUAGAUAUUCGGAAGAACACCAGUGGCGAAGGCGGCUCACUGGACUGGUAUUGACGCUGAGGUGCGAAAGCGUGGGGAGCAAACAGG